UGUAUGGUGAUGUUACAUUAGCCAGGAGACUACAGUGAUAACACAAAGUAGUUGUUUGGCUGCCAACAGUUGCUAGCCUGUUCAGUUCAUGCUCACUUGCUAUCCAGAGUUCACCAUAGAGGGUAACUAGCUCCACAAUUAGAAGGUUUAAGGCAUUCUGCAGCAUCAUCUGGAGCUUUUCCCACAUCAAUGUCACUUCUCAUUCAGGUGUUGCAUUCAGGUACAAAAUGGGGUGGAACCCUUGAACCAUCUCACUGAGAAAGAUCUAAACUUCUAUAGUGUAUGCAUGGCAAGACUUCAGAUGCUCAAAGAAAGAAAGAAAGAAAGAAAGAAAGAAAGAAAGAAAGAAAGAAAGAAAGAAAGAAAGAAAGAAAGAAAGAAAGAAAGAAAGAAAGAAAGAAAGAAAGAAAUUCAUUACAUGCAUAAAGCAAUGUUUAGUUUGAAUUUAAGACAAAAGGAAAUAAAGAUUAUUUCAGGCAUUAAUUGUACUGUAUUCUGCACAAAUUUGGAAAUACAAACAACAAUGGAGGAUUCUUCACCCCCAGUUGCAUUUUGGAAAUCAGAGAAACUAAUGUACUGCCAUUUCAUUCAAGUAUGGAGAAUUUCUAAACAUCCAAAAAUAAAAUGUUCUCCUCUUCAGAUCAAAAAAA